GCAAAAGCAGUCAGGGGGAUAGGUGGAUCGGUGCUGGAGCACCCAUUGUUGGCGGCAAAAAGGGAAGAGAUAUUCAGGCACGACGGAGUUCACCUGAACGAGGCCGGUAAUGACCAGUUUUUGGAGGACAUCAGGAGAAUGUUGGAGGAAAUGAUCAAGAUGCAAGAGAGCAGUAAAGACAACUACGCGGAGAGGUCACAACCAGAGAUAUCGAGAGAAAUUGGCAUGGUUAGGGGCACGAUGUCAGCUACUUAGUUGGAUCGCAGUAAGACCGCCCGUGCCCCCUAAUAAGGGGAUCGAGAGAGCUGCAGCUGGAAGCUAGCGGGUGACUCGAGCGGUCUAAGCUAGCUGAAAGCGUUAAGAUAAGCAAGCAGCCAUAUAGGAGAAAAGUUGAUAAGUUGUUGCGGUGAAAUCGGGAUCUGGCACGUAGGCAGGGCUUGCGAGGGGCGGAGGGGAUCCUGUAGCAUACCCAGUCUAAGUCGUGAUUCGGUGGUCUAGCUAAAGGCUGGUAUAUGCUGCAGGUUCGCUCCUCCCCUUCUGCUCUGCCACAGGGGGGGUUUGUGGUCCCCCCCCCUGACACGUGGGAUCCAAGUUCAGGUUAUGCAAAUGCUGACGCAUUUUUGAGUGUUAUGUUGAUUAAGGGUAUGUUAUUACCCAGGGUAUGUUAUUACCCAGGGUAUGUUAUUACCCAGGGUAUGUUAUUACCCAGUGAGAAAUUUUUUGAAUUUAAAUUAAAUUAUUAAAUGUGACCUUUCCAUAUUUAGCCAAA